ensembl:misc_RNA Metazoa_SRP Metazoan signal recognition particle RNA
GCCGGGCGAGGUGGCGUGUGCCUGUAAUCCCAGCUACUCAGGAGGCUGAGGCAGGAGAAUCGCUUGAACCCGGGAGGCGGAGGUUGCAGUGAGCCGAGAUUGCACCACUGCACUCCAGCCUGGGUGACAGAGCGAGACUCCGUCUCAA